rnacentral:misc_RNA from 1 species
AAGUCGUAACAAGGUUUCCGUAGGUGAACCUGCGGAAGGAUCAUUACCGAGUUAGGGUCUCCUUGGCCCGAUCUCCCAACCCUAUGUUCAAUCUACCAUGUUGCUUUGGCGGGCCCGCUUUUAGGAGCCGCCGGGGGGUUUCCAGCCUCUGGCCCGUGCCUGCCAGGAGCCUUACUAAAUUCUUAAUAACUGUGCCGUCUGAGUACAAAUUUAAAUCGUUAAAACUUUCAACAACGGAUCUCUUGGUUCUG